GACGAACGCUGGCGGCGUGCCUAACACAUGCAAGUCGAACGGAAAGGCCCUGCUUUUGUGGGGUGCUCGAGUGGCGAACGGGUGAGUAACACGUGAGUAACCUGCCCUUGACUUUGGGAUAACUUCAGGAAACUGGGGCUAAUACCGGAUAGGAGCUCCUGCUGCAUGGUGGGGGUUGGAAAGUUUCGGCGGUUGGGGAUGGACUCGCGGCUUAUCAGCUUGUUGGUGGGGUAGUGGCUUACCAAGGCUUUGACGGGUAGCCGGCCUGAGAGGGUGACCGGCCACAUUGGGACUGAGAUACGGCCCAGACUCCUACGGGAGGCAGCAGUGGGGAAUAUUGCACAAUGGGCGGAAGCCUGAUGCAGCAACGCCGCGUGCGGGAUGACGGCCUUCGGAUUGUAAACCGCUUUCGCCUGUGACGAAGCGUGAGUGACGGUAAUGGGUAAAGAAGCACCGGCUAACUACGUGCCAGCAGCCGCGGUGAUACGUAGGGUGCGAGCGUUGUCCGGAUUUAUUGGGCGUAAAGGGCUCGUAGGUGGUUGAUCGCGUCGGAAGUGUAAUCUUGGGGCUUAACCCUGAGCGUGCUUUCGAUACGGGUUGACUUGAGGAAGGUAGGGGAGAAUGGAAUUCCUGGUGGAGCGGUGGAAUGCGCAGAUAUCAGGAGGAACACCAGUGGCGAAGGCGGUUCUCUGGGCCUUUCCUGACGCUGAGGAGCGAAAGCGUGGGGAGCGAACAGGCUUAGAUACCCUGGUAGUCCACGCUGUAAACGGUGGGUACUAGGUGUGGGGUCCAUUCCACGGGUUCCGUGCCGUAGCUAACGCUUUAAGUACCCCGCCUGGGGAGUACGGCCGCAAGGCUAAAACUCAAAGGAAUUGACGGGGCCCCGCACAAGCGGCGGAGCAUGCGGAUUAAUUCGAUGCAACGCGUAGAACCUUACCUGGGUUUGACAUGGAUCGGGAGUGCUCAGAGAUGGGUGUGCCUCUUUUGGGGUCGGUUCACAGGUGGUGCAUGGCUGUCGUCAGCUCGUGUCGUGAGAUGUUGGGUUAAGUCCCGCAACGAGCGCAACCCUUGUUCACUGUUGCCAGCACGUUAUGGUGGGGACUCAGUGGAGACCGCCGGGGUCAACUCGGAGGAAGGUGGGGAUGACGUCAAGUCAUCAUGCCCCUUAUGUCCAGGGCUUCACGCAUGCUACAAUGGCUGGUACAGAGAGUGGCGAGCCUGUGAGGGUGAGCGAAUCUCGGAAAGCCGGUCUCAGUUCGGAUUGGGGUCUGCAACUCGACCUCAUGAAGUCGGAGUCGCUAGUAAUCGCAGAUCAGCAACGCUGCGAUGAAUACGUUCCCGGG
rnacentral:rRNA from 1 species